rnacentral:rRNA from 1 species
GACGAACGCUGGCGGCGUGCUUAACACAUGCAAGUCGAACGAUGAAGCUAGAGCUUGCUCUGGUGAAUUAGUGGCGAACGGGUGAGUAACACGUGAGUAACCUGCCCCGAACUCUGGGAUAACUGCUGGAAACGGUAGCUAAUACUGGAUACGACCUGCGAAGGCAUCUUCUGUAGGUGGAAAGAAUUUCGGUUCGGGAUGGACUCGCGGCCUAUCAGCUUGUUGGUGAGGUAAUGGCUCACCAAGGCGACGACGGGUAGCCGGCCUGAGAGGGUGACCGGCCACACUGGGACUGAGACACGGCCCAGACUCCUACGGGAGGCAGCAGUGGGGAAUUUUGGACAAUGGGCGAAAGCCUGAUCCAGCCAUUCCGCGUGAGUGAAGAAGGCCUUCGGGUUGUAAAGCUCUUUCGGCAGGAACGAAACGCUCUAGAUUAAUACUCUGGGGUAAUGACGGUACCUGAAGAAGAAGCACCGGCUAAC